rnacentral:rRNA from 1 species
UACGGAGGGUGCAAGCGUUAUCCGGAUUCACUGGGUUUAAAGGGUGCGUAGGCGGGUUGCCAAGUCUGUGGUGAAAUCCUCCAGCUUAACUGGAGAACUGCCGUGGAUACUGGCGACCUCGAGGGGUGUAGGGGCUUGCGGAACUGUGCGUGGAGCGGUGAAAUGCGUUGAUAUGCACAGGAACUCCGGUGGCGAAAGCGGCGAGCUGGACACCUUCUGACGCUGAGGCACGAAAGCUAGGGGAGCGAACGGG